rnacentral:rRNA from 1 species
AUACGGAGGAUCCGAGCGUUAUCCGGAUUUAUUGGGUUUAAAGGGUGCGCAGGCGGGUGAUUAAGUCGGCGGUGAAAUUUUUGAGCUCAACCUUAAAAGGGCCUUCUGAACUGGGUUUCUUGAGUGUAGAUGAAGGAGGUGGAAUUUGUGGUGUAGCGGUGAAAUGCAUAUAUAUCACGAGGAACUCCGAUUGCGCAGGCCACUUGCUAAACUACUACUGACGCUCAGGCACGAGGGCGUGGGGAACAAACAGAAUUAGAUUCGUUGGUAGUGCACGCAGUAAACGAUGAUUACUAGCUGUUUGCGAUACAAUGUAAGCGGCUGAGCGAAAGCGUUAAGUAAUCCGCCUGGGGAGUACGUUCGCAAGAAUGAAACUCAAAUGAAUUGACGGGG